CUUCGACUGUUGAAGUUGUCUCUAUCUGUGUCUCCACUGACAAUGUUCAAGGUAGAUUUUGUACUGCCGUUAUCAUCAAGCUGUUGCUGGGCUCAUCUUGUCAGGUGUCGUAAUUCAACAAUGAGCGAACAAUAAAGCUACUUCGUACGGUAGAGCUGGAGCACUGGGUGCUAAUAGACGUGGACGGGAGCAACUGGAAGUUCGUAGACGUGGACGGGAGCAACGGGGAGUUCGUAGGUGUGGACGGGAGCAACAGGCAAGUGUUUGCCACUGGGACGGAAUCCAUUUUCAUCGGCAGUCCAGGUCAGUGUGAAUGUCUCACCUUCAGGAGAAACCCAGUAGGAAGAUCCCUGGUUCGUGUUACCCUGGACGUCACCGUAAAUGGCCUUGCCGUAAGAAUCAUUUGUAAAACUAUAUACCUCCACUUGCUGCUCCCGUCGGCGUUACGUUCAUCAGAUUGGCUGGUGAUGGUGAUUAGGGGUGCCUUGUAGCCGGGGGCAGCAUAUUCUGAUGGAGCUGCGUAAACAGCGACGAUCAAGAG